rnacentral:rRNA from 1 species
GAUGAACGCUGGCGGCGUGCCUAAUACAUGCAAGUCGAGCGAAGGUGCGGAUGGGUUAGUAACGCGUGGGGAACCUGCCCUUAAGUCUGGGCUACAAUUUGGAAACAGAUGCAUAUACCGGAUACUAAUGGAUGCACUUGCGAUGCAUUAGCUAGUUGGUAAGGUAACGGCUUACUAGGGCGAUGAGGCAUAGCCGGGUUGAGAGACUGAUCGGCCACAUUGGGACUGAGACACGGCCCAAACUCCGACGGGAGGCAGCAGUAGGGAAUCUUCCACAAUGGACGAAAGUCUGAUGGAGCAACGCCGCGUGAGUGAAGAAGGUUUUCGGAUCGUAAAGCUCUGUUGUUGGUGAAGCGGUAAUCAACCAGAAAGUCACGGCUAACUACGUGCCAGCAGCCGCGGUAAUUC